rnacentral:rRNA from 1 species
GACGAACGCUGGCGGCGUGCUUAACACAUGCAAGUCGAACGGAAAGGCCCUGCUUUUGUGGGGUGCUCGAGUGGCGAACGGGUGAGUAACACGUGAGUAACCUGCCCUUGACUUUGGGAUAACUUCAGGAAACUGGGGCUAAUACCGGAUAGGAGCUCCUGCUGCAUGGUGGGGGUUGGAAAGUUUCGGCGGUUGGGGAUGGACUCGCGGCUUAUCAGCUUGUUGGUGGGGUAGUGGCUUACCAAGGCUUUGACGGGUAGCCGGCCUGAGAGGGUGACCGGCCACAUUGGGACUGAGAAACGGCCCAGAAUCCUACGGGAGGCAGGAGGGGGGAAUAAUGCAAAAUGGGCGGAAGCCUGAAGGAGCAACGCCGGGGGCGGGAUGACGGCCUUCGGGGUGUAAACCGCUUUCGCCUGUGAAGAAGCGGGAGUGAAGGUAAUGGGUAAAGAAGCACCGGCUAACUACGUG